rnacentral:rRNA from 1 species
GAUGAACGCUGGCGGCGUGCCUAAUACAUGCAAGUAGAACGCUGAAGGAGGAGCUUUCUCUUCUUGAUGAGUUGCGAACGGGUGAGUAACGCGUAUGUAACCUGCCUGUUAGCGGGUGAUAACUAUUGGAAACGAUAGCGAAUACCGCAUGACAACAGUUGUUGCAUGAUAACUGUUUAAAAGGGGCAACUGUUCCACUACCAGAUGGACCUGCGUUGUAUUAUCAAGUUGGUGAGGUAACGGCUCCACAAGGCGACGAUACAUAGCCGACCUGAUAUGGUGAUCGGCCACACUGGGACUGAGACAAGGCCCAGACUCCUAAGGGAGGCAGCAGUAGGGAAACUUCGGCAAUUGACGGAAGGCUGAACGAAGAAAGCCGGGGGAGUGAAGAAGGUUUUCGGGUCGUAAAGAUCUGUUGUAAGAGAAGAAAGAGAGUGGGAGUGGAAAGUUCACACUGUGACGGUAUCUUACCAGAAAGCGACGGCUAACUACGUG